UACGGAGGGUGCAAGCGUUGUCCGGAUUUAUUGGGUUUAAAGGGUGCGUAGGUGGCCUUAUAAGUCAGCGGUGAAAGUCUGCAGCUUAACUGUAGAACUGCCAUUGAUACUGUAAGGCUUGAGUACUGAUGAGGUAGGCGGAAUUGAUAGUGUAGCGGUGAAAUGCAUAGAUAUUAUCAAGAACACCGAUUGCGAAGGCAGCUUACUAAGGAGUUACUGACGCUGAGGCACGAAAGCGUGGGGAUCAAACAGG
rnacentral:rRNA from 1 species